UGCGUAGGCGGCUGGAUAAGUCACGUGUGAAAGGCCGGGGCUCAACCCCCGGAUCUGCAUGUGAGACUGUCCGGCUCGAGCACGGUAGAGGCGGGCGGAAUUCCUGGUGUAGCGGUGGAAUGCGUAGAUAUCAGGAAGAACACCGGUGGCGAAGGCGGCUCGCUGGGCCGUUGCUGACGCUGAGGCACGAAAGCGUGGGGAGCAAACAGGAUUAGAUACCCUGGUAGUCCACGCCCUAAACGAUGGACACUAGGCGUCGGGGGGAGCGACCCUCCCGGUGCCGUCGCUAACGCAAUAAGUGUCCCGCCUGGGAGUACGGCCGCAAGGCUGAA
rnacentral:rRNA from 1 species